AAGAAGCAAAGAACAACUGAUGCUUAGGGGCGCUUUACCCCUGAACCUCACGGGGGUCACCCUGAAGACCUAUCCUAUCCCAUUGCCUUUCCAAGAAGGACACUAGUGACCUGUUUAGAGUGGGUUGUCAUUCACUUCUGUGUAUCUGCAUUCUCAAUCCAUUUUUCCCCUCUCUUCUGUUACUUUGAUGAGGCAUGCCACUGCAGAUUCAAGUUUUUCUAUUCUACUUAUGUUUGUUGCAUAAGACAUGAAUUUCUUAUCGAAAUAUCUCAAAAAGGGAAAGUGGAAAAAAGGCAUGGAAAGUCAAAUUCAAAUACAGAAGCAAUUUGAACACAAACAACAGAUUCAACAAUUGUAACAUCUUUGUAACAAAGUAAAUUUUCCUAUCACAAUGAAUGAUAACAAUUGUAUUACCUAUGAACUUUUAUAAACUCUGUUAACUCCUAAGGUAACUAUAUGUCUAUAACUCAUUUUAAGAUAUAUAAUAAUUCUGUCCCUAAACUGUCUCAAGUUUCAAACUUCCCUUAGCUAAUCUUUCCCUGUGUGUUAAUUGUUAGUCCAUUAGUAUCCUAAAACUAUAU
rnacentral:lncRNA from 1 species